CCUACGGGAGGCAGCAGUAAGGAAUAUUGGACAAUGGCCGCAAGGCUGAUCCAGCCAUCCAGCGUGCAGGAAGAAGGCCCUAUGGGUUGUAAACUGCUUUUAUCGGGGAAUAAACCUCUGGAUUCACUCCGGAGCUGAAGGUACCUGAAGAAUAAGCACCGGCUAACUCCGUGCCAGCAGCCGCGGUAAUACGGAGGGUGCGAGCGUUAUCCGGAAUUACUGGGUUUAAAGGGUGCGUAGGCGGCUUUGUAAGUCAGGAGUGAAAGUUUGCGGCUCAACCGUAAAAUUGCUUCUGAUACUGCAUGGCUAGAAUUAGGAUGAGGUCAGCGGAAUGUGGCAUGUAGCGGUGAAAUGCAUAGAUAUGCCAUAGAACACCAAUUGCGAAGGCAGCUGGCUAGACCUGGAUUGACGCUGAGGCACGAAAGCGUGGGGAGCGAACAGGAUUAGAUACCCUGGUAGUCCACGCCCUAAACGAUGCUUACUCGACGUAUGGCACUAGUUGUUGUGCGUCCAAGGGAAACCGUUAAGUAAGCCACCUGGGGAGUACGACCGCAAGGUUGAAACUCAAAGGAAUUGACGG
rnacentral:rRNA from 1 species